UCACUUGGGACCCAUCAGGUUUCUCUACGACCAGAAGGUUCAGAAAAGGACAUAAGGCAAUGAAGGACUCACUUGGGACCCAUCAGGUUUCUCUACGACCAGAAGGUAUGAAGAGGAAGAGUUAAGCAGGAAAUGUGGCAGAAGAACCUAACUCAGGUCUAAAGAGCUAUA